GGGUUGUGAGGUUAAGCGACUAAGCGUACACGGUGGAUGCCCUGGCAGUCAGAGGCGAUGAAGGACGUGCUAAUCUGCGAAAAGCGUCGGUAAGGUGAUAUGAACCGUUAUAGCCGGCGAUGUCCGAAUGGGGAAACCCAGUGCAAUUCGUUGCACUAUCGUUAACUGAAUACAUAGGUUAACGAGGCGAACCGGGGGAACUGAAACAUCUAAGUACCCCGAGGAAAAGAAAUCAACCGAGAUUCCCCCAGUAGCGGCGAGCGAACGGGGAGCAGCCCAGAGUCUGAAUCAGCUUGUGUGUUAGUGGAACGGUCUGGAAAGUCCGACGGUACAGGGUGAUAGUCCCGUACACCAAAAUGCACAGGCUGUGAACUCGAAGAGUAGGGCGGGACACGUGGUAUCCUGUCUGAAUAUGGGGGGACCAUCCUCCAAGGCUAAAUACUCCUGACUGACCGAUAGUGAACCAGUACCGUGAGGGAAAGGCGAAAAGAACCCCGGCGAGGGGAGUGAAAAAGAACCUGAAACCGUGUACGUACAAGCAGUGGGAGCACCUUCGGGUGUGACUGCGUACCUUUUGUAUAAUGGGUCAGCGACUUAUAUUCUGUAGCAAGGUUAACCGUAUAGGGGAGCCGCAGGGAAACCGAGUCUUAACUGGGCGUUAAGUUGCAGGGUAUAGACCCGAAACCCGGUGAUCUAGCCAUGGGCAGGUUGAAGGUUGGGUAACACUAACUGGAGGACCGAACCGACUAAUGUUGAAAAAUUAGCGGAUGACUUGUGGCUGGGGGUGAAAGGCCAAUCAAACCGGGAGAUAGCUGGUUCUCCCCGAAAGCUAUUUAGGUAGCGCCUCGUGAACUCAUCUUCGGGGGUAGAGCACUGUUUCGGCUAGGGGGUCAUCCCGACUUACCAACCCGAUGCAAACUACGAAUACCGAAGAAUGUUAUCACGGGAGACACACGGCGGGUGCUAACGUCCGUCGUGAAGAGGGAAACAACCCAGACCGCCAGCUAAGGUCCCAAAGUCAUGGUUAAGUGGGAAACGAUGUGGGAAGGCACAGACAGCCAGGAUGUUGGCUUAGAAGCAGCCAUCAUUUAAAGAAAGCGUAAUAGCUCACUGGUCGAGUCGGCCUGCGCGGAAGAUGUAACGGGGCUAAACCAUGCACCGAAGCUGCGGCAGCGACACUAUGUGUUGUUGGGUAGGGGAGCGUUCUGUAAGCCUGCGAAGGUGACCUGUGAGGGUUGCUGGAGGUAUCAGAAGUGCGAAUGCUGACAUAAGUAACGAUAAAGCGGGUGAAAAGCCCGCUCGCCGGAAGACCAAGGGUUCCUGUCCAACGUUAAUCGGGGCAGGGUGAGUCGACCCCUAAGGCGAGGCCGAAAGGCGUAGUCGAUGGGAAACAGGUUAAUAUUCCUGUACUUGGUGUUACUGCGAAGGGGGGACGGAGAAGGCUAUGUUAGCCGGGCGACGGUUGUCCCGGUUUAAGCAUGUAGGCUGAUUGUCCAGGCAAAUCCGGAUAAUCAAGGCUGAGGUGUGAUGACGAGGCACUACGGUGCUGAAGUAACAAAUGCCCUGCUUCCAGGAAAAGCCUCUAAGCAUCAGGUAACAUCAAAUCGUACCCCAAACCGACACAGGUGGUCAGGUAGAGAAUACCAAGGCGCUUGAGAGAACUCGGGUGAAGGAACUAGGCAAAAUGGUGCCGUAACUUCGGGAGAAGGCACGCUGGUGUGUAGGUGAAGCCCCUGCGGGUGGAGCUGAGACCAGUCGAAGAUACCAGCUGGCUGCAACUGUUUAUUAAAAACACAGCACUGUGCAAACACGAAAGUGGACGUAUACGGUGUGACGCCUGCCCGGUGCCGGAAGGUUAAUUGAUGGGGUUAUCCGUAAGGAGAAGCUCUUGAUCGAAGCCCCGGUAAACGGCGGCCGUAACUAUAACGGUCCUAAGGUAGCGAAAUUCCUUGUCGGGUAAGUUCCGACCUGCACGAAUGGCGUAAUGAUGGCCAGGCUGUCUCCACCCGAGACUCAGUGAAAUUGAACUCGCUGUGAAGAUGCAGUGUACCCGCGGCAAGACGGAAAGACCCCGUGAACCUUUACUAUAGCUUGACACUGAACAUUGAGCCUUGAUGUGUAGGAUAGGUGGGAGGCUUUGAAGCGUGGACGCCAGUCUGCGUGGAGCCAACCUUGAAAUACCACCCUUUAAUGUUUGAUGUUCUAACGUUGGCCCCUUACCGGGGUUGCGGACAGUGUCUGGUGGGUAGUUUGACUGGGGCGGUCUCCUCCCAAAGCGUAACGGAGGAGCACGAAGGUUAGCUAAUCCUGGUCGGACAUCAGGAGGUUAGUGCAAUGGCAUAAGCUAGCUUGACUGCGAGCGUGACGGCGCGAGCAGGUGCGAAAGCAGGUCAUAGUGAUCCGGUGGUUCUGAAUGGAAGGGCCAUCGCUCAACGGAUAAAAGGUACUCCGGGGAUAACAGGCUGAUACCGCCCAAGAGUUCAUAUCGACGGCGGUGUUUGGCACCUCGAUGUCGGCUCAUCACAUCCUGGGGCUGAAGUAGGUCCCAAGGGUAUGGCUGUUCGCCAUUUAAAGUGGUACGCGAGCUGGGUUUAGAACGUCGUGAGACAGUUCGGUCCCUAUCUGCCGUGGGCGCUGGAGAAUUGAGGGGGGCUGCUCCUAGUACGAGAGGACCGGAGUGGACGCAUCACUGGUGUUCGGGUUGUCAUGCCAAUGGCACUGCCCGGUAGCUAAAUGCGGAAGAGAUAAGUGCUGAAAGCAUCUAAGCACGAAACUUGCCCCGAGAUGAGUUCUCCCUGAGACUUUAAGUCUCCUGAAGGAACGUUAAAGACGAUGACGUUGAUAGGCCGGGUGUGUAAGCGCAGCGAUGCGUUGAGCUAACCGGUACUAAUGAACCGUGAGGCUUAACCUUACAACGCCGAAG
rnacentral:rRNA from 1 species